UGAAAUUUGGAGGGUAUGUACAUCUUACUGAGGCUCUUCUAAUAAAAAUAUAAAAAACAUUAUCCACGAAAAGAAAAUUGACCAAAAUACCCCAUAAACGUUUUGGGGGUAUUUUGGUCUAAGUUUUUUCUUGUAAAAUAUUUUUUUUAUAAUUUUCGAAGAUUCCCCUAUAUUUGAUAAAUAUACGCUCCAAAUUUCAGUUCAUUAUGAUUAGUAGAAAAAAACUUAAAAAGAAAACAUUACCGGAUAAUCGUGAUCGCGUGAUGAAUUUUAGACGGUGAUGGGGAUAGGCGAAAUCACUGUUCAUUUUCGCUUAUCGGCGUUGCGUAGUAUUUUCGAUAUAUAGAAUUGAGGCUCUAAACAAUGAAAUUAGAGCACACAUCAAAUAUUUCACUAGAAGAUGUUUUGAUGGCCAAAUAUACUCAAAUUGACUAUCUCGACAUCAGAUACAUAGACAUGAGAAAAAAAUGGAUUUCAAGUUUUGAAAAUAGCUCACCUUGUAAUGCAUUUUUGGACCGUCAAUUUUCAAGUUUUCAUAGAUCUGCUCGAUCUAUAUUCUUUUUUAAGCUUUAAAUUUUAUAAUUAAAGAUGAAAACAUAUUUUAAAGACAAAAAUUUCCAAUAUUGAAACCGCCAUUCUAGACAUUAUUUAAAUGUUCGCUC
rnacentral:lncRNA from 1 species